GGCCCCAUCGUCUAUCGGUUAGGACACUGCCUUUUCAAGGCAGGAAGCGCGGUUCGAUUCCGCGUGGGGUCACCA
rnacentral:tRNA from 1 species